ensembl:lncRNA novel transcript
GCACUUUCCUGAUUCCUUCAGGGAAACAUCUGCCUACUUGAAGCUCUCAUAAUGAAGCACUGUCAAAUUACUGAAAGGCUGCACAUCAUCCAAUAAUUAACCUGGAAAGAUCACUUGCCAAUGGCGUUCUGCCAUGACAAACAGAUGUUCCUGCUACCUAUCUGAAAAAGAGGUCAAAUGUUCUGAAGUAGACAUACUCUGUGUUCCUUCCUGCUCCCUGGCACAUCAGUACCAAGUUUCUCAUGUCAUGUCAACUUCGAUUUCAAUUUUACCCCAGGACACAUGCACCUCAGCAUGGUCAGCUCAGCAGUAUAUCAAUGAUGGCAAAAUUUAACAGCCUUUAAAAGAGAGCUGGAUGAAAAGGAUUCCGAACUGCUUUUCAGGACAUCCAUGAAUCAUCUGCUUUCAAUGGAGUGAUAUUUUAGAAUCACCCACUCAAGUUGACACCAAUUCUGAAUGGUGAGGUCUCACCCUUCUUAUGAA